AUGACCAUUCUAGAGUACACUUGGAUAUUAAUGAAAAAAAGAAUGAAGGAGACUAUAUCAACGCUUCAUACAUUCAGGGAUACAACAAUGAGGAAAAAUUCAUCGCAUCGCAAGGACCCAACAGUAUUAUUAUCAACGACUUCGUACGAAUGCUGUGGGAACAAAAAGUGG